UUAUAGAAAUUAUAAACGGUAAAUAUGUUAUAACAACAUAACAUAGGCUUACUAAUGAUUACUAAAAAGAUAAAACGAAUAGUAUUACCUGUAACUAUCCUAACUGACAAUGCCUGUAACAGCCAGACAACAAUGACACUUUUUUUACUCAUGACGGUUAGCGCCAACACCAUAUACCUACAUUAUCAGCAACACAUUACAGCUUAGAAAGACUAAUACUAGCAAGAUGAUGUACAGCAGCUGAUUUUUAAGUAUUUGUGUAAGAGUUUCGAAACAUGUAUGCACCGUAUUUUGUAGUUUCGUUUAUUUUUUUUAAUGAACAGGACAGUAUAUUCGUCGAAUGGUUAGUAAGUUUCGAUACGUAAUACUGUAUAUGUUUAGAUAAUAAUUCUUUCCUACGACGCGCACCGAUGCGUCCAGCAGACAUCAGUUUCAUAAGUUCUUCAUAAACGUUUCGAUGCUAUCAAUUAGAAAGAAAUACAAAAAUACAAACAUUUCUUUGAAUUAUUAGUUAUUAUUUGUUUAUUUCCGUCUUAGGGAAUUACACCAGUUACGCAAGACAUAGAAGAUCUGGUUGCGAUAUUCAAAAAAUUAUUACAAAGCAAUGAGCUUAUUAAAUCCAGAUAUAUACGAAUAUUUUUUUUUUAAAUAAACGUGGUAAAAGCUAAAAUGGAUACUGAAAAUCUUCUAGUGAUUUCCUAAUUAUUAAAUUCAUGAUCUUGUUUCAGUGGUAUACCAGUACAUUUUUUACGGUUUAAUUUGCUAAUUAAAACUUAAAAGGUAGGCAUUGAUGCCAUAUUGGUCAAAAUGUUUAAUUUAACGCAGGCUAAUACUGCUCAACAAACAAGAAACAUGGACCCAUAUACACUUUCAGAUAUUGAUUGGAGCAUUAGUUAUUAUUUGUUUAUUUCUGUCUAAGGGAAUCAUUCUAAUUGCGCAAGAUAUAGAAUGGCUGGUUUCGUAGUUCAAAAUGAAUUACAAAGCAACUUGAGGUGGUGACAAUUUGUGCUCGUGGUCUUCAGGUUUUCAGUGCAGUCAUCAUACAUUAUUACUGCAUAACCAUUAAAUACAUAGACAGAAAAUAUCUUGAGAAUAAUGCUGUGUGCAAACUUACAAACAGUGUGGAUUAAAUGAGCAGAUCCCAAUGAAGAUUAAGGCAGGUAUAUUCCGACCCGUCCAGCAAAUGUUAGGAUGACACCAAUAAACGUGCCAACGAAGAAAAUUCCAAUUAUCAGACCAGUGAGACUGGUUGCAA
rnacentral:lncRNA from 1 species